ACCCUUGUGGAGGAGGACGCCGAAGGUGGGGCUAAUGACUGGGGUGAAGUCGUAACAAGGUAGCCGUACCGGAAGGUGCGGCUGGAUCACCUCCUAACAGGGAGACAACAAAAUGUUUAAUAUUAUUAUUUUGUCACCUUAGGUCGAUCGGUAUCUCACGUUCUUAAUUUAUUAAGAAUUUCAUUUUCUAAGUUUUUCUAGGUCACACCCAUUAUUUUUCCUGGGCCAUUAGCUCAGGUGGUUAGAGCGCACCCCUGAUAAGGGUGAGGUCCCUGGUUCAAGUCCAGGAUGGCCCAUAUCUCUAUGUUGGGGGUAUAGCUCAGUUGGUAGAGCGCCUGCUUUGCAAGCAGGAUGUCAGCGGUUCGAGUCCGCUUACCUCCACUGAUUACCACCUCUUCCAUAAUUUGCAGAAAGGAAAUGUUUUGAGUUGUGAUCAAAUUCUGAACGAAUCUAGCUUCCUAAUUAAAUCAUUAAGAUGCUGGACUCAUUGAAUUAAUUUCAUUGUUUUCAGAGAACCUUGACAACUGCAUAGAUUAUUUUUAAAGACAAUAAGCAUCUUUUAUGAUGCAGAUUUAUUAUUUGUGCGAAUGCAUUAAUAACAAUUCUAUUAAGCCGAUACUUUAAAUUUUGAAGUUAUUGGUCAAGCUACAAAGGGCUCACGGAGGAUACCUAGGCACACAGAG
rnacentral:misc_RNA from 1 species